GGAUAUGAGGGCAGUCUGGCUGCAACAUCUGUCACCCCAUUGGUCUCCAGGGUUGAUUUGACUGGCUAAGCGGGCCCUUCCUCCCUCACCUCCGAUAGAGGAGGACCAGUUUUUGGUCAAGGGUGUACAACUAGCUGUGCUCCUCU
rnacentral:snRNA from 1 species